GGGGCCCGCACAAGCGAGGAGCAUGUGGUUUAAUUCGAUGAUACGCGAGGAACCUUACCUGGGCUCGAACGUAAGAUGACUGUAGGUGAAAGCUUACAUCUCUUCGGAGCAUUUUACGAGGUGCUGCAUGGUUGUCGUCAGCUCGUGCCGUGAGGUGUCGGGUUAAGUCCCAUAACGAGCGCAACCCCUACCUUUAGUUGCCAUCAGGUUAAGCUGGGGACUCUAAAGGAACUGCCUACGCAAGUAGUGAGGAAGGCGGGGAUGACGUCAAAUCAGCACGGCCCUUACGUCCAGGGCUACACACGUGCUACAAUGGCCGAUACAGAGGGCAGCUACCUGGUGACAGGAUGCAAAUCUCCAAAGUCGGUCUCAGUUCGGAUCGGAGUCUGCAACCCGACUCCGUGAAGUUGGAUUCGCUAGUAAUCGCGCAUCAGCCAUGGCGCGGUGAAUACGUUCCCGGGCCUU
rnacentral:rRNA from 1 species